rnacentral:rRNA from 1 species
UCAAGGUGUAUAUCGCCAUUGCUGCGGUUAAAAAGCUCGUAGUUGGAUCUGCGCCUUCGGACUCGGUCCGCCCAACGGGUGUGAACUGGGAUCCAAGGCUUAUACUGCUGGUUUUCCCUUGAUGCCCUUUACUGGGUGUCUUGGGUGGCUAGCGAGUUUACUUUGAAAAAAUUAGAGUGCUUAACACAGGCUAACGCCUGAAUACUUGUGCAUGGAAUAAUAGAAUAAGACCACGGUUCUAUUUUAUUGGUUUUCGGAACUGUGAUAAUGGUUAAGAGGGACAGACGGGGGCAUUCGUAUCGCUGCGUGAGAGGUGAAAUUCUUGGACCGCAGCGAGACGCCCUACUGCGAAAGCAUUUGCCAAGAAUGUCUUCGUUAA